rnacentral:rRNA from 1 species
UGCAAGUCGAACGGUGAAGCCCAGCUUGCUGGGUGGAUCAGUGGCGAACGGGUGAGUAACACGUGAGCAAUCUGCCCCUGACUCUGGGAUAAGCGCUGGAAACGGCGUCUAAUACUGGAUAUGAACCGUGGAGGCAUCUUCAACGGUUGGAAAGAUUUUUUGGUCAGGGAUGAGCUCGCGGCCUAUCAGCUUGUUGGUGAGGUAAUGGCUCACCAAGGCGUCGACGGGUAGCCGGCCUGAGAGGGUGACCGGCCACACUGGGACUGAGACACGGCCCAGACUCCUACGGGAGGCAGCAGUGGGGAAUAUUGCACAAUGGGCGCAAGCCUGAUGCAGCAACGCCGCGUGAGGGAUGACGGCCUUCGGGUUGUAAACCUCUUUUAGCAGGGAAGAAGCGAAAGUGACGGUACCUGCAGAAAAAGCGCCGGCUAACUACGUGCCAGCAGCCGCGGUAAUACGUAGGGCGCAAGCGUUAUCCGGAAUUAUUGGGCGUAAAGAGCUCGUAGGCGGUUUGUCGCGUCUGCUGUGAAAUCCCGAGGCUCAACCUCGGGUCUGCAGUGGGUACGGGCAGACUAGAGUGCGGUAGGGGAGAUUGGAAUUCCUGGUGUAGCGGUGGAAUGCGCAGAUAUCAGGAGGAACACCGAUGGCGAAGGCAGAUCUCUGGGCCGUAACUGACGCUGAGGAGCGAAAGGGUGGGGAGCAAACAGGCUUAGAUACCCUGGUAGUCCACCCCGUAAACGUUGGGAACUAGUUGUGGGGUCCAUUCCACGGAUUCCGUGACGCAGCUAACGCAUUAAGUUCCCCGCCUGGGGAGUACGGCCGCAAGGCUAAAACUCAAAGGAAUUGACGGGGACCCGCACAAGCGGCGGAGCAUGCGGAUUAAUUCGAUGCAACGCGAAGAACCUUACCAAGGCUUGACAUAUACGAGAACGCUGCAGAAAUGUAGAACUCUUUGGACACUCGUAAACAGGUGGUGCAUGGUUGUCGUCAGCUCGUGUCGUGAGAUGUUGGGUUAAGUCCCGCAACGAGCGCAACCCUCGUUCUAUGUUGCCAGCACGUAAUGGUGGGAACUCAUGGGAUACUGCCGGGGUCAACUCGGAGGAAGGUGGGGAUGACGUCAAAUCAUCAUGCCCCUUAUGUCUUGGGCUUCACGCAUGCUACAAUGGCCGGUACAAAGGGCUGCAAUACCGUAAGGUGGAGCGAAUCCCAAAAAGCCGGUCCCAGUUCGGAUUGAGGUCUGCAACUCGACCUCAUGAAGUCGGAGUCGCUAGUAAUCGCAGAUCAGCAACGCUGCGGUGAAUACGUUCCCGGGUCUUGUACACACCGCCCGUCAAGUCAUGAAAGUCGGUAACACCUGAAGCCGGUGGCCCAACCCUUGUGGAGGGAGCCGU